CAGCCGCCGCGGUAAUACGUAGGUGGCAAGCGUUGUCCGGAAUUAUUGGGCGUAAAGGGCUCGCAGGCGGUUUCUUAAGUCUGAUGUGAAAGCCCCCGGCUCAACCGGGGAGGGUCAUUGGAAACUGGGAAACUUGAGUGCAGAAGAGGAGAGUGGAAUUCCACGCGUAGCGGUGAAAUGCGUAGAGAUGCGGAGGAACACCAGUGGCGAAGGCGACUCUCUGGUCUGUAACUGACGCUGAGGAGCGGAAGCGUGGGGAGCGAACAGGAUUAGAUACCCCAGUAGUCCCUGUCUCUUAUAC
rnacentral:rRNA from 1 species